UACGUAGGUGGCAAGCGUUGUCCGGAAUUAUUGGGCGUAAAGCGCGCGCAGGCGGUCCUUUAAGUCUGAUGUGAAAGCCCACGGCUCAACCGUGGAGGGUCAUUGGAAACUGGGGGGACUUGAGUACAGAAGAGAAGAGUGGAAUUCCACGUGUAGCGGUGAAAAUGCGUAGAGAUGUGGAGGAACACCAGUGGCGAAGGCGACUCUUUGGUCUGUAACUGACGCUGAGGCGCGAAAGCGUGGGGAGCAAACAGG
rnacentral:rRNA from 1 species